rnacentral:rRNA from 1 species
UACGGAGGGGUGCAAGCGUUGCUCGGAAUUAUUGGGCGUAAAGGGUAGGUAGGUGGUCUCAUUUGUCUGGGGUGAAGCCUUGAGCUUAACUCAAGAAGUGCCCCGGAAACGGUGAGACUGGAGUCCUGGAGAGGGUCGUGGAAUUCCCGGUGUAGCGGUGAAAUGCGUAGAGAUCGGGAGGAACACCAGAGGCGAAGGCGGCGACCUGGACAGGCACUGACACUCAACUACGAAAGCGUGGGGAGCAAACAGG